GGAAUAUUGGUCAAUGGAGGGAAACUCUGAAACCAGCCAUGCCGCGUGCAGGAAGACAGCCCUCUGGGUCGUAAACUGCUUUUAUUCGGGGAAUAAACCUUUCUACGUGUAGGAAGCUGAAUGUACCGUAAGGAAUAAGGAUCGGCUAACUCCGUGCCAGCAGACCGCGGUAAUACGGAGGAUCCAAGCGUUAUCCGGAUUUAUUGGGUUUAAAGGGUGCGUAGGCGGCUUAUUAAGUCAGGGGUGAAAGACGGUGGCUCAACCAUCGCAGUGCCCUUGAUACUGAUGAGCUUGAAUACACUAGAGGUAGGCGGAAUGUGACAAGUAGCGGUGAAAUGCAUAGAUAUGUCACAGAACACCGAUUGCGAAGGCAGCUUACUAUGGUGUUUAUUGACGCUGAGGCACGAAAGCGUGGGGAUCAAACAGGAUUAGACUACCCCUGGUAG
rnacentral:rRNA from 1 species